CGAGUGGACUUCCGCUGCUGGCCUGGGGCUUCCCAGCCGUCUUGGCGUUGUCCUCUCCAACCCCCGCCGCUCCGCGUAGAACGCCGCUCUCAGGCUGCCGUCAAGCUCCCGCGGCACUCUCCUAGGUGGCCCGACGAGACCCAGAGUGACCCGCGGGACGCCUGUAUCGACCGCGUCCUCUUCCCACCAGCGUGGGAUUCGGUUGAACGUGGAGUCCCCAGCAAUCUUCAGUCUCUCACCAGGGCCAGGGACUCGUCUGGGGCGCGGGGGAAAGAAGCGUGGCGGGGCUGUAGAUGCCGCGUGAGUAGGAUGCAGAUUGCACCGCUGGAGCGCUUGACAACCAACCGAGCGUUGGCUUAGUUUUGUUUUCCCGCACAGCAAGCUCUCUGUCUUUCAGAGGAAGGUAAAGGUGGUGAAAGCUCUAAACUAAAAUUGUAUCGAAAUGGCUGCAGAAAUCGACUUUCUGAGAGAGCAAAAUCGAAGACUAAAUGAAGAUUUUAGGCGGUAUCAAAUGGAAAGUUUUUCCAAAUAUUCAUCUGUACAGAAAGCUGUCUGCCAAGGAGAAGGAGACGACACAUUUGAAAACCUAGUAUUUGACCAAAGCUUUUUAGCUCCUCUUGUUACUGAGUAUGAUAAACACCUAGGAGAACUAAAUGGGCAGCUGAAAUAUUACCAGGCAUAACGAGGACCUUGGAAAAGUUCACCUUUCAAACCAAAUUUAUAGUUAGAAUUUGCUAUUCUGAUCUCCUAGACCAAGCUUCCUUGAUCUUCUCGGUUGAAAGAGAGAGAAAAAGGCUGGCAGAACUGCCUGUUCCACCUGGCCCUUGCGAAAGUGUACUCCAGGAUAAGCUUCUCUCCUUUAGCUUAGGAAGCACAAUCAAGACUAAUACACAAUCAUGAAUUAGUUACCGUUUUAAGUGAGAUUUUGCAUGCUUUUACAUGUAAAUUCAGGGUUUUGUGUGUGUGUGUGUGUGUGUGUGUGUGUGUGCGCGCGCGCACACUCUCCAUUUGCUCAUUCACACUUACUGAGAGUUGACUACUUAUUUUUUGCUAUUUUGCUUUUACUCAUAUUUUCGCCAACUUUAAAUGCUUUCUUUUCUUUUGAAAUCCUAACAUCUUUUUACUCCUUCAGAGAACGUUAAUCAGACCUUCAUUUAAUUCCCUUUCUGGUGUGCAUUUUAUUCUGCCUUGUAUUUUAGUUAGGAUUUUUUUUAACCAUCUUUCCUACUAUUUUUCAAUGAGCAUGUCUGUUUACCUUAGCGCCUUGUAUGGUACGGAGAGUUUAGAUAGUUAAUGAAGGUGGUGAAUCAGAAACUGAAUGAAUGACUGCUAAAAAAGACCUCCAUUUUCUUCUUUACUGUUAGCAUUUUACCUUUUGAAAUACUAGAAAAAUAUACAUACUUAUAUGGGCUUCACCUAAACUGAGGUGAAUUAACUAAGAUAUACAUUCAAGAUACAGGAACCAUCUGGUAUUUGUUAUAGUGACAUACUCCAGAAUAUCUUUCAUCUGUUUUUCACAACUACAAGUCAUAGGAAUUACAUUUAUAAACAUUUCUCACCAUGUUACAUAAAAUAUUUCUAUUUUAUUUAUAUUCUACUUAAAAUGAAUGUUUUAUUGUGUUCUGUUUAUUAGUAAAUUAUCCAUAUUAAUUAUCCCUUUGUUAUAAAUAAAGAAUAAGUCUUUCUUAUCUGUAAA
rnacentral:lncRNA from 1 species